UACGGGGGGGGCAAGCGUUGUUCGGAAUUACUGGGCGUAAAGGGUCUGUAGGUGGCUCGCUAAGUCAGACGUGAAAUCCCUCAGCUUAACUGGGGAACUGCGUCUGAUACUGAUGAGCUUGAGUGCAGGAGAGGAACGCGGAAUUCCAGGUGUAGCGGUGAAAUGCGUAGAUAUCUGGAGGAACACCGGUGGCGAAGGCGGCGUUCUGGACUGCAACUGACACUGAGAGACGAAAGCCAGGGGAGCAAACGGG
rnacentral:rRNA from 1 species